rnacentral:rRNA from 1 species
GACGAACGCUGGCGGCGUGCUUAACACAUGCAAGUCGAACGGAAAGGCCUGCUUUCCCUUGUGGAUUGCGGGUACUCGAGUGGCGAACGGGUGAGUAACACGUGAGUGAUCUGCCCCCAACUUGGGUAUAAGCCUGGGAAACUGGGUCUAAUUCCCGAUAGGACUGCAGGGUGGUGCCUGUGGUGGAAAACGAUUUUCUAGUGGUUGGGGAUGAGCUCGCGGCCUAUCAGCUUGUUGGUGGGGUAAUGGCCUACCAAGGCGGCGACGGGUAGCCGGCCUGAGAGGGUGGACGGCCACAUUGGGACUGAGAUACGGCCCAGACGCCUACGGGAGGCAGCAGUGGGGAAGAUUGCACAAUGGGCGGAAGCCUGAUGCAGCGACGCCGCGUGGGGGAUGACGGCCUUCGGGUUGUAAACUCCUUUCGACCGCGAGGAAGCCACCUGGUUGGAAGGGUGGUGACGGUAGUGGUAGAAGAAGCACCGGCUAACUACGUG